GACUGCGGAGGAUCAUUAAGAGACGUUGCCCUUCGGGGUAUGCCUCCCACCCAUUGUUUAUUAUACCUUUGUUGCUUUGGCAGACCCGGCUUCGGCCCACCGGCUCCGGCUGGUCAGUGUCUGCCAGAGGACCUAAAACUCUGUUUGUUAAUAUUGUCUGAGUACUAUAUAAUAGUUAAAACUUUUAACAACGGAUCUCUUGGUUCUGGCAUCGAUGAAGAACGCAGCGAAAUGCGAUAAGUAAUGUGAAUUGCAGAAUUCAGUGAAUCAUCGAAUCUUUGAACGCACAUUGCGCCCUCUGGUAUUCCGGGGGGCAUGCCUGUUCGAGCGUCAUUACAACCCUCAAGCUUUGCUUGGUAUUGGACAUUGCCAGUUUCUGGCAGGUCUUAAAAUCAGUGGCGGUGCCAUUUGGCUUCAAGCGUAGUAAUUCUUCUCGCUUUGGAGAUCCAGGUGGUUACUUGCCAAUAACCCCCAAUUUUUUCAGGUUGACCUCGGAUCAGGUAGGGAUACCCGCUGAACUUAAGCAUAUCAAUAAGCGGAGGA
rnacentral:rRNA from 1 species